CGAACCGGACUUUUUUAUGAUCCAUUAACCCGUGUUUUCCCCACUCCAUCUCCUCACAUCCCUUCUGGAUCGCCUUUGCUACCGUUGAAUUGAUUAUCCCGACGAAUCUCUCCUUACAGUUAGCCGUAAAUUGACACACCAACCAUCGACAGUUCGGAACCAGCGUCCUCGGUCAGACAUAAACUCUCUUCUCCGCUCCGACCAUCGAUGUAGCUACAUCUAUUGCUUGCAUGUCGCAUACAUCACUUUCCUGCUAAUCAAUUGUUCAAUUGCUAAUUAAUCGGGUCCAUUACUUAGCUUACAUCGAAUACUAUAAAUCACUUGAUGCGCUCCUUCUCCUCGUCCGGGUUUGGUAUUCAUCUAUUGCCUUCGACCUAUAUUUUCAGCAUAUAAGGACUAGAGUUCAUCUUCUCCCCCAUUCAAUAUCAUGUGCACAACAGUUGUUCGAUGAAAUGCUCACAUGAAUUGGGAGUGCAUUUGUACCGGAGGUCUGCAUCUCGUUCGACUUAUUGCAAAUAUAGUUCGCCGUUGCAAGUUGCUUCCUAAAGUUUCCUAAAGAAUUGGUUGUACCUGAGUAUAUCCAUAUCCGUUAGUUCAUAAUUUGUCUACUAAGAGAUUUGACUCUGAAAAGGAGAGGUUUGAGCAUUUGGCAUUCUUAAACUUGGCAAACGUGCUGUUUGUUUAUAAUGUGAUAAAGCUCUGGGGAAAAUAUAGAGGUGUUUGUGCUCUAUGCUGCAGUUAUUACAGUACUGGAAUUACAGUGAUGCUGAUGGGGUCGCUAGCUUAUGUUGAUGAUACCAUUUAAAAAUAAUGCAGUUUCUGCACCUGAGGUUAAAUACACGGAUGUAAGGAGGAUUGAUCAACUUCUAAUUCCUAUUACAUUAUUGAAAUAAAGGAUAUGUAUCUUCCACCAUAUGCAGGUGGUAGCUGCCAUGUACCCAACAGUCCCUUAUGUUAGCAAAGUAGUCAUGAAAUACACUAGUUCUAGUAAUGUUUUGUGAAGAAAAUAUGAGCAAGUUUCAAGAUCAUGGAACUACAUUUAUUGGAAGCUAAUAUGCGGUUUGAUUGGAUUGUAUUGGAUUCAGUUAUUGUAAUUUUAUUCAAACAUUAUCACUAAAAUAUUUAAGUAUUUUUUAAUUUAUAGCAAUUACAUCAA